GACAGAGGGUGCAAACGUUGCUCGGAAUCACUGGGCGUAAAGGGCGUGUAGGCGGGAGAGAAAGUCGGGCGUGAAAUCCCUAGGCUCAACCUAGGAACUGCACUCGAAACUUCUUUUCUUGAGUGCCGGAGAGGAAAGCGGAAUACCUGGUGUAGAGGUGAAAUUCGUAGAUAUCAGGUGGAACACCAGUGGCGAAGGCGGCUUUCUGGACGGUAACUGACGCUGAGACGCGAAAGCGUGGGUAGCGAACAGG
rnacentral:rRNA from 1 species